rnacentral:rRNA from 1 species
AACGAACGCUGGCGGCAUGCCUAACGCAUGCAAGUCGAACGAGACCUUCGGGUCUAGUGGCGCACGGGUGCGUAACGCGUGGGAACCUGCCCUUAGGUUCGGAAUAACUCCCCGAAAGGGGUGCUAAUACCGGAUAAUGUCUUCGGACCAAAGAUUUAUCGCCUUUGGAUGGGCCCGCGUUGGAUUAGCUAGUUGGUAGGGUAAAAGCCUACCAAGGCGACGAUCCAUAGCUGGUCUGAGAGGAUGAUCAGCCACACUGGGACUGAGACACGGCCCAGACUCCUACGGGAGGCAGUAGUGGGGAAUAUUGGACAAUGGGCGAAAGCCUGAUCCAGCAAUGCCGCGUGAGUGAUGAAGGCCUUAGGGUUGUAAAGCUCUUUUACCCGGGAUGAUAAUGACAGUACCGGGAGAAUAAGCUCCGGCUAACUCCGUG